rnacentral:antisense_RNA from 1 species
AUGCGUGCGCCCGCCAAGAUUCCUUCCGCCGUCUUCUGGACCGGCCUCCUGCAAGUCCUAAUCUCAUCCCAAAUUCAGCGCUGGCUUCCAUCUGGAGCUCUUUGAUGGGUACAAAUGGUAGCCGACUUUCUUCGAUCAUCUCUCGAACGGGAGUUGGCACACAAUACUGAGACCAGAAUAAAGCAGUGCAUUUACUACCUUGUGAAGAAUGUUCAGGUGUUCAGUGGGCUUGAUCCAGUUAGGUGAAGGUCUGAAGAGAAAAAAAGACCGUCCUCUUCCCAGAACAAGAGAAUCCUCCAACAGAUACCUUUGGACUGGACCUUGCACCAUCAGCUUUCCUGGGUUUCCAGCCUCCUGCCUCACACUCCAGCUUUCGGACUUGUUAGACUUAAUAAUAGUAACACAAGCCAAUCCUUUUAAGGAAGUUUGUCUGGAGAAUCUUGACAAACACAAACAUCUACUGAGAGUUCCUGUCCAAGUUUUGCUCACACCCUAGCAAGAGGCUUCUGGCUUACCAGUCGGGAGUGUGAGGUUCUUUGCUUGUAAGACCUGAUCCACCAGCGGUACACCAGCUCUGGCCCAGGGCAAGACAGGGAAUUUCCCAAUCACUGAGUAGGCUGUAGCCACUCUCUCCAUUAGGCCUGACUUCACCAUGGGGAAGGGGAGACCCUUUCAAGGGUAUUCCUUCCUGGGGUACUCUCAGUCCUAGGACAUCAUAGCUCUCUUUCAUCCCUCUUAAAAGUUAAUAUCAUUAUCAGUUAACAGUUUUUUAUAUUAAAAUUAUCCCUGUUCAAGUUAAUGGUAUGGUUUCUGUAUCCUGACUGGAUAUUAGGAUACAGUAUUUACUGUCUUAUUUCUACUACUUUAUGUUUAAAGUUUUUCAUAAUGUUUAAACUGAAGUUUUGAUCAUUCAUUAAAUAUUUACACAGAACAGGACAAAGGAUGGUUUUCCUUUGUCUAGUUAUUGUAAGGUAGCGUCCAAGAUUUACCACCACGUCAUGAUUACAGAUGGUCACCAACUUACGUUUUAGGAUUUUUUGACUUUAUGAUGGGUUUAUAGGGAUGCAGCCCCAUUUCAAGCUGAGGAGCUCCUUAGGACUUAGGAAUCAUACCUCUUUCACACCAUGGUAAAGUUGGAAAAUUGUUAAGUCAAGCUGUCAUUAAUUAGGAGACUGCUGUGUUGCUAACGUUUUAUGCAUUUUUAACUUAUGAUGGGUUUAUUGGGAAUUAACCACAAUGUAAAUCGAGGACCAUCUGUAUAUUGUAUGAUUUUUGCUAAUGCAUUGAGAGAGAUCUGUGUAAAUUAUCUAUGACUUCAGAAUAUGCAUAUUACCUCCAACUGUGUUAACUCAUGUUUUUUAAGAGAAUAAGGGUAUUUUCACCCUAUGUGGAUGUACUGUAGAAUUUUUCUAAGCUACGAAAGUCUAUAAAUAACAAAUCAACUUAAACUUUUUGGGAAAUAAUUUCUACUAAAGAUUCAUAAUCGGCGUAUUCCUUCAAUGACUGUACAAGUUCAUCCAGUAGAUAAUCUCCUUGCAUAAAAGUUUCAAGAUCAUGCAGCGUCUUGUUUAUUCUGUGAUCUGUGACCCGGUUCUGUGGAAAAUUAUAUGUUCUUAUUUUCUCUGAUCUUCCUUUACUUCCAAUCUGUAUAUAGAGAAAAAGAUGAGAUGCAGUUAGAUUCAGGGCAAUUUAAACCUACAAAUUUAACUUAUUUGGAGACUUAAGUUCUUGAUUUAUAACAUGAAUCAAAAUGUGAGAACCAGGUUUUAAACACUUAGAAUUUCAAAUGACAUGGGAACAUGAUAUAGAAAAAAGAACACGUGCUCUAAAAUCAGAUUAAUAUCUGAAUCCUGCCUCAGCCACUUCAAUGUUCUAUGACCUCGGGCAACUUAGUUUCCCGAUCUGCAAAAUACAGUGUCUACUACACAGUGAUGAUGACUAUAGAGCCUGGCACAUAGUUGCUAUUCCUAUAGUCGCUGAAUACAUAUAAUCUCUGUGAAUUAAUGCAGUCAUCUUCCGUGGUAACAAGGUGGUGAGUUUCCCAUAUUGAGGAAUUCUUAAAAGGCUCUGUAGUUAUAAAAUUAAAUACCG